AUGACUGCCUCUUGUAACUUGGAAAAGCAGGUCGCCUUUCCCCAGUCGCUGGACGGCGCCAACGGCCGCCUCCGGAUAGCUCGUUCCCGCCACCGCGCUGCCGCCUCCGCAUCACAGGAUCCUUCUUCCCUCGAUUUUUUUCUCAGAUCGAGCAAAACAGAGAAACCUGGGGUAGGGAGAGAAGGCGCCGCGGGGCUGCGCACUGGGAAGGCGCUCGACGGGAUGAGAUCCUGCGUUGUGGAGGGAGGAGAGCGGGAGGGGCACGCGUUCGUCGCCGCCGUGGGCAUGCUGGCCGCUGCUAGAGGGGAUGACGGCGGGCGUCAAUUCGUGGCGUGGGGAGAGAGCAGAGAGGGAGAAGCAGGGUCGACGCAGGAGAGAGAGAGAGGGAGGGAGGGAGGGAGGCUUCGGCUGAGAUGA
rnacentral:rRNA from 1 species